GUUGAACGCUGGCGGCAGGCCUAACACAUGCAAGUCGAGCGGAUGAAGGGAGCUUGCUCCUGGAUUCCGCGGCGGACGGGUGAGUAAUGCCUAGGAAUCUGCCUGGUAGUGGGGGAUAACGUCCGGAAACGGGCGCUAAUACCGCAUACGUCCUGAGGGAGAAAGUGGGUGAUCUUCGGACCUCACGCUAUCAGAUGAGCCUAGGUCGGAUUAGCUAGUUGGUGGGGUAAAGGCCUACCAAGGCGACGAUCGGUAACUGUUCUGAGAGGUUGAUCAGUCACCCGGGAACGGAGACACGGUCCAGACUCCUACGGGAGGCAGCAGUGGGGAAUAUUGGACAAUGGGCGAAAGCCUGAUCCAGCCAUGCCGCGUGUGUGAAGAAGGUCUUCGGAUUGUAAAGCACUUUAAGUUGGGAGGAAGGGCAGUAAGUUAAUACCUUGCUGUUUUGACGUUACCAACAGAAUAAGCACCGGCUAACUUCGUG
rnacentral:rRNA from 1 species